GUAUGGUGCAAGCGUUAUCCGGAUUUACUGGGUGUAAAGGGAGCGUAGACGGAGUGGCAAGUCUGAUGUGAAAACCCGGGGCUCAACCCCGGGACUGCAUUGGAAACUGUCAAUCUGGAGUACCGGAGAGGUAAGCGGAAUUCCUAGUGUAGCGGUGAAAUGCGUAGAUAUUAGGAGGAACACCAGUGGCGAAGGCGGCUUACUGGACGGUAACUGACGUUGAGGCUCGAAAGCGUGGGGAGCAAACAGGAUUAGAUACCCUGGUGGCCCACGCCGUAAACGAUGACUACUAGGUGUCGGGCAGCAAAGCUGUUCGGUGCCGCAGCAAACGCAAUAAGUAGUCCACCUGGGGAGU
rnacentral:rRNA from 1 species